rnacentral:rRNA from 1 species
GGUUUAUGUUUCAAAUAAUUUAUUGCCGUAGGAUGGGACUGCGGCCUAUCAGUUUGUUGGUGAGGUAAUGGCCCACCAAGACUAUUACAGGUACGGGCUCUGAGAGGAGUAGCCCGGAGAUGGGUACUGGGACACGGACCCAGGCCCUAUGGGGCGCAGCAGGCGAGAAAACUUUGCAAUGUGCGAAAGCACGACAAGGUUAAUCCGAGUGGUUUCUGCUAAAGGAACCUUUUGUCAGUCCUAGAAACACUGAUGAAUAAGGGGUGGGCAAGUUCUGGUGUCAGCCGCCGCGGUAAAACCAGCACCUCAAGUGGUCAGGAUGAUUAUUGGGCCUAAAGCAUCCGUAGCCUGCUUUGUAAGUUUUCGGUUAAAUCCAUACGCUCAACGUAUGGGCUGCCGGGAAUACUGCAAAGCUAGGGAGUGGGAGAGGUAGACGGUACUCGGUAGGAAGGGGUAAAAUCCUUUGAUCUAUUGAUGACCACCUGUGGCGAAGGCGGUCUACCAGAACACGUCCGACGGUGAGGGAUGAAAGCUGGGGGAGCAAACCGGAUUAGAUACCC